AGGGUAAGAUGGACGGAGAAGGAUUUCUAACCCAAUCUCCUCUUGGUUCAAAUCCAAGAUUACCCUU
rnacentral:tRNA from 1 species